GGUCUCGUAGCUCAGAUGGUAGAGCAUACGCGUACAAAGCGUAGGUGGCGUCUAUGCGUCCAUGGGUUCGAAUCCUACCGAGGCUA
rnacentral:tRNA from 1 species